rnacentral:rRNA from 1 species
UAGCUAGUUGGUGAGGUAAAGGCUUACCAAGGCGACGAUCUGUAGCGGGUCUGAGAGGAUGAUCCGCCACACUGGAACUGAGACACGGUCCAGACUCCUACGGGAGGCAGCAGUGGGGAAUUUUGGACAAUGGGGGCAACCCUGAUCCAGCCAUGCCGCGUGAGUGAAGAAGGCCUUCGGGUUGUAAAGCUCUUUCGGCCGGGAAGAAAUCGCAUGGGCCAAUACCCUGUGUGGAUGACGGUACCGGAAUAAGAAGCACCGGCUAACUACGUGCCAGCAGCCGCGGUAAUACGUAGGGUGCGAGCGUUAAUCGGAAUUACUGGGCGUAAAGCGUGCGCAGGCGGUUUUGUAAGACAGGCGUGAAAUCCCCGGGCUUAACCUGGGAACUGCGUUUGUGACUGCAAGGCUAGAGUACGGCAGAGGGGGGUGGAAUUCCACGUGUAGCAGUGAAAUGCGUAGAGAUGUGGAGGAACACCAAUGGCGAAGGCAGCCCCCUGGGUCGAUACUGACGCUCAUGCACGAAAGCGUGGGUAGCAAACAGGAUUAGAUACCCUGGUAGUCCACGCCCUAAACUAUGUCAACUAGGUGUUGGGUGGGUAAAACCAUUUAGUACCGUAGCUAACGCGUGAAGUUGACCGCCUGGGGAGUACGGCCGCAAGGUUAAAACUCAAAGGAAUUGACGGGGACCCGCACAAGCGGUGGAUGAUGUGGAUUAAUUCGAUGCAACGCGAAAAACCUUACCUACCCUUGACAUGCCAGGAACUUGCCAGAGAUGGCUUGGUGCCCGAAAGGGAGCCUGGACACAGGUGCUGCAUGGCUGUCGUCAGCUCGUGUCGUGAGAUGUUGGGUUAAGUCCCGCAACGAGCGCAACCCUUGUCGUUAAUUGCCAUCAUUUAGUUGGGCACUUUAACGAGACUGCCGGUGACAAACCGGAGGAAGGUGGGGAUGACGUCAAGUCCUCAUGGCCCUUAUGGGUAGGGCUUCACACGUCAUACAAUGGUCGGUACAAAGGGUUGCCAAGCCGCGAGGCGGAGCCAAUCCCAGAAAGCCGAUCGUAGUCCGGAUUGCAGGCUGCAACUCGCCUGCAUGAAGUCGGAAUCGCUAGUAAUCGUGGAUCAGCAUGUCACGGUGAAUACGUUCCCGGGUCUUGUACACACCGCCCGUCACACCAUGGGAGCGGGUUCCGCCAGAAGUAGGUAGCCUAACCGCAAGGGGGGCGCUUACCACGGCGGGGUUCGUGACUGGGGUGAAGUCGUAGCAAGGUAGCCGUAGGGGAACCUGCGGCUG